CUAAUUUAACUUUUGUCCUGACAGGAAAAAAAUCUUGGUGAUAUCUGGCAAAGUCAUGGGGAUAAUAUAGAUGCCCAUAGAUGGCUGUGUAGAAGGGUCUUGGGUCCAGAGGAAGUGAGAAGAGGAAAACAGGAGAUAAUCCCAAACUAAAUGGAAACAAUGGAAGUAGCAAGGAGAGAAAAGAAAGGAAAAAGUAAAAAAUGAAGAAAUGAAAGCUGCCUGUCCUGCUGGUGACAGAGAUGUACCUUCCUGGGCAUAACAGCCACAUGCACAAGAUGGUAGAGGAGAUCUCAAGACUCAGAUUCACAGAAUACAGGAAUUAACUGAGAGAGACAUCAGCAGAAAGUAUGAAAAUAUUGAGGGGAUUGAACUGAAAGGACCUCUUUGGAAGUAGUUUGCAUCCCACCCCUGUCCACUGCAAC
ensembl:lncRNA